CAGCUUGGCAGCUGAGCUAUGGGACAAGUUACAAAACACAGCAGACUACCAGCUAUGGGUUGUUAACAAGAGCGUGUUACGUGUUAUACUACACUAUGCUGCAGCGAGGCUUUCAGUUUUACACAGCUCUGGACACAAGUACUUAGUAAAACAAAGAGGGGUGUGUGAUUAUGUCCUCUCUGGUUCCAUAGGCAGUUUUAGGAUUUGCCAACAGGGGGUGCAACUUUCCAGAGAAGUAAGUCUUUUCUUUUGGUUUGUUUUUUGCAAGGCCAAACCUGGAAGACUCAUGUUUACCGAUUUACAAUAGGAUGUGAUGUUUUAGUUUGUAAUAUUUUAAGGAGGUUAUAUAAUUAAGGUUAACUGUAAUAAAGUGUUUGCACUUUGACUUCUUGAAUAAGUCAAACAUUGUUUCAAUAUGGUGACAUUGCACUAUAUGUUCCAUGAAGAAUUAUUAUUAUUUUGCACACAAUAAAUUCUUCAAUGAUACAUUAACUGCGUUUCCAUUACCCAUAGAUUUGCGCAAAACCUAAAUAUAGCAAUAGAAAACUGGUAAUGGAAACACCUAAAUUUCAGAAAAACCUCUCAAAUAUCGCUAAAAGGUUUUUACGCUCUCAUGAGGUGGUUUUUCAGACGUGUCGAUAUAUAAGUAUAUCGCAAAAGUGUAAUGGAAACACUAUUCUUGCAAUUCUCUGUCACCGGACGUGACGUAGCGGGUCAAGUGACCAGUUCAUUUCAAGCGAAAUGUGUGUAUGGACGGGGGAGGAGACGGAGUUUUUGAAUUGUAUUUGUAUUUUUCUGAAGUUUUGAAUCCACAAUUUGUCCAUGAAUUCCUCAUUAACGAUCCUCCCCCAGAAAUCCCUCAUCCGUGUCCGCUCCCAUACAUACGGGUUUGAAUACGGAAGUGAGCAGAAUGACCGAACAUGGAGCUAAACGCAGAGCUGAGGGCAGCAAAACAGAUGUCAGCUGUGACUUUGGGUCAUCCUCAGAACAUGUUAUAGUUGAGGAGUUAUUCAACGUCUCUCCAAAGUGAUGUCGAGCAAUUAAGCCGAUAAACUGGCAACAUAACAAAUCUUUUCUCCUCGAGUGAUUAUGCGGGAAGCAUGAAAAUGCGAGCGGAGUCUGUACAGCCUGUCACUGCUGACGGUACGAGUAGCAUUAGCAGUUUAGACACAACUAGCGGUGCAGCCACCAGACCAAAGCAGCAAUCAGUCAUAUCCAUAUCUGCCAACACCCGGGACUCUCCCCUAUUUCAGACGUAGGCCUGUCACGAUAACAAAUUUUGCUGGACGAUAAUUGUGCUACAAAUUAUCGCCGAUAAACGAUAUUAUUGACACCGUUUUUUAAAUUAUACAUAAUGAUAUUAUAUGGCAUAAUAAUGCGAGUACACCUUGUCAAAAGUGAUAAACUUUAAUUUCCACUGUCUGUCAGCGCGCACCAUUUUGCGCUGUUUUGUUUAUAUUUGCUUUGCUUACCAAACGCUUCAGUAAGCGGUACCUGUCGGGACGAUGGCUCCGCAGCACCUCCGGUGGUACUUUUUUUGCUCAGUUGAGAAAAAUGGAGGGGAUGAUUGUGCUUGAGGUGCACAUGCAUGUUCGUCGUAUUCCCCUUCUUUGUCACCACAACUUUGGAACAAAUACGACAUAUCGGCUCGUCUGUAUAUGUGGGGUCACCUCUUUCAUUUGGUUUAAAGCAGUGUUGUUUUCGUCAUAUUUCGUCAAAUAUUUUCGUCAACGCCAGCGUCAAAAAAGGUAAAUAUUUUCGUCAACGAGAACAACACUGGUUGUUUUCGUUGACUAAAAUAUUUCCCUUUCUUCCACGAUGAAGACGUAACGUUGACGAGCUAAACAUAAGUCGGAGAUGACUAAAAUGUGACGAGACGAAAGUGCGUUUACGUUGAUGGGACGAGACGAAAAUGACAAACAGACUUGCAAAACUCAGUCAGUUAAACGCUCAACAUACAGGAGCAGCUUCAGUCCGCUCUGACAGCUCUCAUCAGCCUGCUGUGCUCCUCCAACACACAGACACACACGCGCGCACACACACACACACACGAGUUUUGUGGUUGACGAAAACAAAACUGGUUUAAAGCCGAAAUAUUCCCACACUUGGGCUGUUGCGUUCGGUUUAGACACCAAAGCUGUCGUGUUCAUUCUGUUUGCUUGCUUUUCACUCACGACGCUCACUUGCAGCACUGUAUCCAAAAGUCUGUGUCUGUGUGCCUGACUGUGCGCGCCAGCCCCUCGUGACAAAGACACUGAAUGACUGACAGGAGGGUUCACUAACUCCGUUCAUUCCGCUAUAGAGCCAACGCCCCCAGGUGCCGAGAACAAUGCACAGAGUGAGACCUCUUCUCUCAUCCAGCGUGUUUGGUAGCGAGAGAGGAGGAAAACAAACGCACGUCAAUUAUCGAGGCUGGCAAAAUGACCGACCUCGUUUUUAUUUACCGAGCGAUAAGGCGAUUUAUUGAUUAUCGCGACAGGCCUAUUCAGACGUAUCUCCCGCCCACUCCCGGUAUUAUCAUUUCUCCCGGGAAUUUCUCGUAGCAUGGUCCGCAUUCAUUCAUGAAUCAGAUCACUAUAUUUGCUCAAAGUUUCCAGACAACCGGAGAUUGUCCUUUGUUUCUGCUGAGCCUUACAGACAGUGGAUUGACACUUUUACUUUACAGUUUGGGACGAUUCAGGUCUGUUUCAGCUGUAAACUACAGGGCUCUCAAGUCUCUCGCAUUCAGCGUGUGACACACGCAUUCCCACCUGUUCACACGCUCACACGCCACACAUCGUAUUUCUCACGCAUUUAAAUGAACAUGGUGAUGUCCACCACGUUGCCCCUCUUUAACAAUGGAACAGGUAGAAAUCAACUGAGUUUCUCCGAGAGUUCAGAAGCUGCGUGCCAGGCGCAAGCCAAUCAAAUAAAGUAUAUCUACUGAACAGCCAAUCAAAAAGCAGCAUGUCUGUAUCCGGGUAGAAAUAGAGCAGGUUUUUAAAAGGACGAGAUAGACCCGAUGAUUACAGUAAGUCAGUAACCUACACAUGCAGAGACCUCAACACCUCAUGGCAUAUAAACUCAUAUAAUAAACUAAAACCCUAUGCUAUUGCUAUUGACAGCUGUAUUGAUGAAUUUAGCCUCUGUACAGCCAUUUCCAGCCAUUUUCCCCUCCACAAAAGCAGCAUUUCUCAUAUAUUUUUUUUAAAGUUCUGAUACUCAUGACAGUGUAACGCUCAUGUACCAAAGGAUUAAGUAUCUCCAUGUUUGUGAAACCUAUACUAAAGUACAAUUCAUCUAAAUGCUCCACAGUGCUGAUUUUAACAACUCUCCUCCACACCAGAGGUAACUUUACGACUUAAUUCUUAUAAAUUAAUGACUUUAUUCUCCUAAAUAAUAACUUUGUUGUCUAAAAUUUUUUUUUUUCUUAAUGUGGCCCUCACACUCUGAUGAUAAUUAUUAGUAUAAUAAUCUCUUAAAUACAACAAUCACUCUACACCCCCCCAAAGAAAUCUCACUCUAAGCUUAGUUCAAAACUUGAGAGCCCUGAAACUAUAUCAAAGAAGUGUUUAUUGGAAAAUGAACACUUCAAUGAAAAGAAACAAACGCGAGCUAUGCGACAGUGAUGCGUUCAGGGCAGCCUCGGAUAAAAGAGUGCUGUAUUUCAUGCACAGAUGUUAAGAGAGCCUCAUACGGGAGAGCAUGUAGAACAUGUAGCACUGUUGAGUUAAAAUGUUUUUUAGAUUUUUCUAAGUGUAUCUUAUUCAGUUUGCUUUGUUAUUUACUUUAUAUGUUAAUAAAAUGUUGAACUAAUCUCUAGUUUUUUUAGUUUUUAGUACAGAUACUUUAAAACUGGCGCUUUAAAAAAAAAUCGUGAUAUUAAUCGAGAUCGGACGAUAUGACAAAAUAAGUCGUGAUCAUGUUUUUUGCCAAAUCGCCCAGGCCUAAUCCAGACUCUAAACAUCUGAAUCCACCAGCCUGUAUGUUCUGCCAAAUAAGGUCUCAUAAGGAGUCAAUCCACUAGUGCUUGUUAUAUUGAUGUAAAGUUCUACGAGAUCAAGACACUGUGUCCAUGGUCUGUUCCUUUCUUCCAUACAUUUUUUUAGUCUAUUUUUUGAAGUUCCAUUCAUUCGUUCUACUAAGCCUGCACUUUGAGGGUGAUAUGCACAAUGAUGUUUAAGGUUUAUGGAACAUUUGUCCUAUUUUUUUAAGGAUUUGGUUCGCAAAAUGAGUGCCAUUGUCGCUACGAAUUAUUUCUGGGAUACCAUACUGAGGUAUGAUGUCUUUACAAAGUGCUUUAGCGACUGUCAAUGCAUCUGGUGUUUUAGUCGGGAAAAGCUCUACCCAUUUGGAAAAUGCAUCUGUUAUCACAAGACAGUAUCUUUUUCCUUCACUUGGGCUCAGUUUGAUAAAGUCCAUGUGUAUGACCUGGAAGGGAUAUUUUGGUUCAGGGAAACAACGUGUUUUCAUUCUGAGAUUUCCCUGAGGAUUGUGUUUGGCGCAUGUUAAACAUGCUCUGCAAAAAAUUUUUGAAUAAGAGUUAAAUCCAUAAGUAGGAAAAUGUUGUUGUAUCUGUCCUACCAUCCCUCCUGUUGAGACAUGUGUGGGACCAUCGCUCAAUAUUGCUCCCCAUUUAAAAAGAUUCUUUGGAAGGAUAGGUUUCCCUUCAGGUCAUAUAUAGAUGCCAUUUUGCAAAUGUGCGUCUUGUUUAGCCCAGAGUUCAAUUUCAGUUUUUGGGCUCUGUUGUUGCAUUGUUUUAAGAACGUCACCAGAAAGUGCGUCAGUAUACUCCAAGGUGCAGACUGAGAUGUCUCCCUCAGCUGGAGCCUUGGCUGUUUUAUCUGCAAAUGCGUUUACCAGCGAGACGGGGUCUGUUCCGGAAGUGUGGGCGGCACAUUUGCAAAUAGCUAACCUUUGUGGCAGAUGUACAGCAGCAUUUACUCUAGGUCAGGAAGUUGCAUCGUUCACGAUUUUGUCAUAGAGCUAUGGAAGCAGAAAGAGGGUUGGUGGCUCUCUCAUUUCUUUAAAAAAAAAAAAGACCUUUUCAACUGCUGAAAUGGCGUUGCCACUUUUGGAUGUCAUGUGGUAUGUCCUCAAAAAAACCCCAAUUAAUUUAAGUUAUUUCCACAAAUAUGUAUUUUAAUUAUAAAUUUCAUAGUGACCUUUUAUGGGAAGCUAGUGGGCUUUGUUUAUUUGGCUAAUCCUGUAUCAAUAAGAUUUGACUGAACUUGAAAAUGUCAUGCAGUGUGACCAAUUAUCAUGUGGUGCGACCACUGCAGAUUGUUUUCCAUCAUAAAUAUAUGCCCUAGAUUGGCAGUAUUUACGCUUUUUAUAUUCAAUUGAUGAAUGAUAAACACAAAGAACUUAAUUUUUAGUAUUAUUUUGAAUUUUUUUUGUUAUUUGAUAAGUCAUUUUGCUAAUAUUUCAGAAAUAAUGGUUAGUUCAUCUUUGUACAAAAUAAGAAAAAAAACUAUGCCAUUUCACUUACGGUAUUUAUGCCGUUGUUAGCAAUUUAUUUACUUUCAUGUAUCUAUUUAAGUCAUUUUAAUUAAGUUUACCAGAUGCCACUGUUGAGCUAAGUUAAAAGUGCUCGCAAUAGGCAGCGUGUCAACUCUGACCCUGAAGCAUGUUGUUCAUGCAAGGACUGGUCAACGAUUGGGCCAAGAUUGGGCAGUUUAAAAACGCCUGAGGCCUGUACUACAAAGCUGGAUUUGAUCUUAGCGAGAUAACUUCUAGAAUAAUUCCUGGGUUUACCGCACGAUGAAGGUGGAUUUCUUUCUAUCCAGGUCUGUUGCCCCAGUAACUUACGCGGAACAUCAAACCCGCUCCGGAGAAGGUUAUGUUUCAGGAUAAAAGACCGCCCACUGACCAAUCAGAUCUCUUAGAAAACGUUGCACGGAUAGUGAGAGGAGCGCUUCGCCGAGAACGAUAUAUUCAAGAUCGUUCAAAUCUGUUUGAUUUACCUGAUGACGUUCUCUAUGAAUGUUACAGGUUUUCCUCAGACGGCCUUAAUAGGUAGUAGGCCUGUUGCGAUUCACGAUUUUAAUCGAAAUGACUCGUAAUAGACGUUCGAUUCAACGUAUCGAAAUCACAACGUGAGUCGCGAUGCACUUCCGCGCACGUCCGAGGCUCCGAGCCAUGCGGUUUUGUUAUGGGUGUGUGUGGCUGCUGGCUGUGGCUAGGCUAUCAUCAGACAGUCAGAUCCCAAACCAACACUCCUGUCCCAUUGGACGAGAACGAGCCACAUGGGAGGGGAGUAUUUGCGUUAGGGCUCCCACUGUCUCACUACACCCUGCCUUGACGCAGGCGUGCUUCCGACAUGGGAGAGAGAAAAAACGAGAGGCGAUUCGAGUAACAACAGAAAUGAAUGAGAGCGAAAGCGAUCAGAACGUCACCGCAGAUAUAUAUUACAGAGCGAUACACAGCGAAUUCAAUUCACCAUGGCCACUGCGUCUGUAAACAACGACACCGAGGAUGAGCCUGUCCCCAGAGAAGAGCUGGAAAACCCUCCCGCUUCAUACAGGUCUAAAGUGUGGAAAUAUUUUGGCUUCCCUGUACAUUAUGAGAGUGAGGGCUCUCGACAGGUCGUAAGUAAGACGCAUACUGUUUGUCGACUCCACUGUAUGUGAGUGCCGUAUCCCUCCACAAGCAACACAACGAAUAUGGCACAGCAUCUCAGCCGUCACCACAAAGAUGUGAAAGAACCACAAAACCCGACGCAGCCCUCAAUCAAAGACGCCAUUAAGAAAAAAGAAAAGUUUGCACCAAAUUCGGCUCGCGCUAAGGAAAUAAACAGCGCACUUGCUGUGAUGAUGAACAGCAGGGGACCUUAUAACAGCUGAGAGGAGUUGCCUCUCUCCAGAAAAUGUGAACAAGCUCAUCUUCCUUAAGAAGAAUUUGCACAUAGAUAUAGAGCUUGAAUGAAUGUAAUGGCUUUGGCAUUAUUCACAUUUCAUGUUUGUAAAAGGAAAGCUCUCUGUUAGAAUAAUGUGAAUAAUACAGUAGUGGUCUAGUGGACUCACUGUGGAAGAAUUUGAAUUUGAGCCAAAUGUAGCCAAAUAACAUUGUUUGUUGGUCCUUUUCUCUUACAUGUUGUUCAACAUUAUUGGUUGAUUGAUUGUUACCUGAAAACUAACUGUUACAACUUCUUAAAGAAGAAUUUGAAAAUGGAAGUUGUUAGGGCAUAAAACCCUAAGUUUAUAAUGUACACUCACCGGCCACUUUAUUAAGUACACCUGUCCAACUGCUCGUUAACACUUAAUUUCUAAUCAGCCAAUCACAUGGCGGCAACUUAGUGCAUUUAGGCAUGUAGACAUGGUCAAGACAAUCUCCUGCAGUUCAAACCGAGCAUCAGUAUGGGGAAGAAAGGUGAUUUGAGUGAGUUUGAACGUGGCAUGGUUGUUGGUGCCAGAAGGGCUGGUCUGAGUAUUUCAGAAACUGCUGAUCUACUGGGAUUUUCACGCACAACCAUCUCUAGGGUUUACAGAGAAUGGUCCGAAAAAGAAAAAAUAUCCAGUGAGCGGCAGUUCUGUGGGCGGAAAUGCCUUGUUGAUGCCAGAGGUCAGAGGAGAAUGGCCAGACUGGUUCGAGCUGAUAGAAAGGCAACAGUGACUCAAAUAACCACCCGUUACAACCAAGGUAGGCAGAAGAGCAUCUCUGAACGCACAGUACGUCGAACUUUGAGGCAGAUGGGCUACAGCAGCAGAAGACCACGCCGGGUGCCACUCCUUUCAGCUAAGAACAGGAAACUGAGGCUACAAUUUGCACAAGCUCAUCGAAAUUGGACAAUAGAAGAUUGGAAAAACGUUGCCUGGUCUGAUGAGUCUCGAUUUCUGCUGCGACAUUCGGAUGGUAGGGUCAGAAUUUGGCGUCAACAACAUGAAAGCAUGGAUCCAUCCUGCCUUGUAUCAACGGUUCAGGCUGGUGGUGGUGGUGUCAUGGUGUGGGGAAUAUUUUCUUGGCACUCUUUGGGCCCCUUGGUACCAAUCGAGCAUCGUUGCAACGCCAAAGCCUACCUGAGUACUGUUGCUGACCAUGUCCAUCCCUUUAUGACCACAAUGUACCCAACUUCUGAUGGCUACUUUCAGCAGGAUAAUGCGCCAUUUCAUAAAGCUGGAAUCAUCUCAGACUGGUUUCUUGAACAUGACAAUGAGUUCACUGUACUCAAAUGGCCUCCACAGUCACCAGAUCUCAAUCCAAUAGAGCAUCUUUGGGAUGUGGUGGAACGGGAGAUUCGCAUCAUGGAUGUGCAGCCGACAAAUCUGCGGCAACUGUGUGAUGCCAUCAUGUCAAUAUGAACCAAGCUCUCUGAGGAAUGCUUCCAGCAUCUUGUUGAAUCUAUGCCACGAAUAAUUGAGGCAGUUCUGAAGGCAAAAGGGGGUCCAACCCGUUACUAGCAUGGUGUAUCUAAUAAAGUGGCCGGUGAGUGUAUUUUAUAAUGUUUGUUUAUGUUAAACAUUGAAUUCUUCUCAUUUGUCAUUAAAGUGACUGAUUGAGAAAAAGUGUUUUUCUGUACAAAUCAAGACAGUGGCCUAAUUAAUGGUCGUACAGCUCACAAUGCUGAAAAAAGGAGGUUAAAAAAAAGUCAUAUCGAAUCGAGAAUCGAAUCGAAUCGUGACCUUAGAAUAGAAAGUUGAAUCGUGGAAUAGGCGAAUCGCAACAGCCCUAAUAGGUAGCAUGAAGUCUAAGCAAUGCACUAACAUUUGCCAAGCUCCAAGUUCCAAUUUCAUGCAGCAUAUCAG